rnacentral:rRNA from 1 species
UACGUAGGAGGCAAGCGUUGUCCGGAUUUACUGGGCGUAAAGGGCGCGUAGGCGGCCUUCUAAGUCGAACGUGAAAUCCCCGGGCUCAACCCGGGAACUGCGUCCGAUACUGGAAGGCUUGAAUCCGGGAGAGGGAUGUGGAAUUCCAGGUGUAGCGGUGAAAUGCGUAGAUAUCUGGAGGAACACCGGUGGCGAAGGCGACAUCCUGGACCGGUAUUGACGCUGAGGCGCGAAAGCCAGGGGAGCAAACGGG